rnacentral:rRNA from 1 species
AGAGUUUGUACUCCUGGCUCAGGACGAACGCUGGCGGCGUGCUUAACACAUGCAAGUCGAACGGAGCACCCUGAAGGAGUUUUCGGACAACGGAUGGGAAUGCUUAGUGGCGGACUGGUGAGUAACGCGUGAGGAACCUGCCUUCCAGAGGGGGACAACAGUUGGAAACGACUGCUAAUACCGCAUGAUGCAUUGAAGUCGCAUGGCUUUGAUGUCAAAGAUUUAUCGCUGGAAGAUGGCCUCGCGUCUGAUUAGCUAGUUGGUGAGGUAACGGCCCACCAAGGCGACGAUCAGUAGCCGGACUGAGAGGUUGGCCGGCCACAUUGGGACUGAGAUACGGCCCAGACUCCUACGGGAGGCAGCAGUGGGGAAUAUUGGGCAAUGGACGCAAGUCUGACCCGGCAACGCCGCGUGAAGGAAGAAGGCUUUCGGGUUGUAAACUUCUUUUAAGGGGGAAGAGUAGAAGACGGUACCCCUUGAAUAAGCCACGGCUAACUACGUG